GUCCAGUUGGCUGCACAUACACUAAAAUUGGAGCUAUACAGAGAAGAUUAUCAUGGCCCCUAUGCAAGAAUAACAGACAAAUUCAUGAAGCAUGUAUUUCUUUA